UCAGGUCUCUUUGUCUGAGGCCUCUUGGCUGCAGGGAGGACUGCUUUGUUUGUGCAGAGUUGAAUUCAGGGUUAUCCUGAUUGCUAUUUGCUGUGCAGCCCCAUGCUGAAGAGGAACCAACACAGCCUGCCAUCCCCUGCUUGAGUUACACUGAGGCCAGUCAUCUGUAUUGGUGCAGAGCCCCCAGUCAGCAAGCUUUUAUGCCACACUGCUGCUUUGCCUGAGUCGAGUUUCCUCACUGCUGUCCGGGCCGUGGUGGAGGGUUUUGUUUUCGGCGACACUUCAAAUGUGUACCUGUGGCUCUCUGGUUUCUACUAGGGCCAUGAGGCAGUGGGAAGACCUGUUGGGGGGAGUACUGGUGGGACCCCCUCUCCUUGCAUGCUGUGUGGUCCAUCUUCAGCCUCAUUUGGAUUUUUAUAAUUUUUAAAAUUGUGAAAUGAAUGCACAUCUCCUGCUCUCCUUAAACUUUGAAUUUGUUUGUCCACACUCAGGUACUUGGGGGGCUGCUAGAGUCGUUGUAUGUAAAACCCCCUGCUUUGGACCUUGGGUGGGGUCACAGUUAAAUAUAAUGGAAACAAC